GACGAACGCUGGCGGCGUGCUUAACACAUGCAAGUCGAACGGAGAGGCCCUGGUUUUGUGGGGUGCUCGAGUGGCGAACGGGUGAGUAACACGUGAGUAACCUGCCCUUGACUUUGGGAUAACUUCAGGAAACUGGGGCUAAUACCGGAUAGGAGCUCCUGCUGCAUGGUGGGGGGUGGAAAGUUUCGGCGGUUGGGGAUGGACUCGCGGCCUAUCAGCUUGUUGGGGGGGUAGUGGCCUACCAAGGCUUUGACGGGUAGCCGGCCUGAGAGGGUGACCGGCCACAUUGGGACUGAGACACGGCCCAGACUCCUACGGGAGGCAGCAGUGGGGAAUAUUGCACAAUGGGCGGAAGCCUGAUGCAGCGACGCCGCGUGCGGGAUGACGGCCUUCGGGUUGUAAACCGCUUUCGCCUGUGACGAAGCGUGAGUGACGGUAAUGGGUGAAGAAGCACCGGCUAACUACGUG
rnacentral:rRNA from 1 species